AAAUAACAGCAUUCCUUGUCUUCAGCCAGGAGUGAGAGCUCUCAUGUCAGAAUUAGUGACACCAGUGAUGUUCACCUAUAAAUUUCUUCCGACCGCUGCAUGUGGAAAAUUGGUCCAGGUCUGCUUUGCGCCUGAAAAUAACAAAACUGAGACAUUUUCAUUAUUAUCAUCAGUGCUUAACCGACCCACUUCUCUCCCACCCGCCAGAAAUAACAAUUCAUGUCAUGUAUAUAAGUGUAAGCGUGUCUUCAUUGCAUUUAUGUUAUGUGUUCAUAUUAAUGUUGAGUGUAAGCUGUUUCUUCAUUGCAUAUGUAUUUUAUAAUAAGGUUUAAUUCAUGCAUCUUUACACUGAGCUGUGGAUUCAAACUGUCUCACUUCUGAUUCUUUCCAAAAAAUAAUUUCACAUGUAACAAUUUGUGUAUGUGUGUUUUCUAUUCAUUAAUGUAAUUGUUAGUUAGUUCCUCUCAUUAUUUUUACCUUCUUCUUUUUUUUUUUUUUACCUCUUUGUUGUGAUGUGGUGGACAAUUCUAAACCUCCACGAAUUCAGUCACCAUUGUCAAUCCAGUCAUAUCCUGUACUCUCUCACUCGAACUCGUCCGGGCUUGACCUCUCACUCACAUGGCAAAUCUGAAAAUCAGUGUCCAGUGCUUUCCAACAGUUAUUUAUCCCACUGUUCUUACCAACCUGUAAUUCACAGUGCAUGUUGCAUCACGUGCUUCCUUACAUGCUGCUGCUGGAGUCGUCAGUGUAAUAGUUCAGUUGCACUGUCUUUUUGCCUGCUGUUAAUUAUUCAAGUACACGGUGUUCUGUCUGUCUUCAUCGGGAGAUUGUCUGUCCUUUAAGCUUCUUCUCAGGAUUGGGACAGAAUGAGAGGUCAAGCUGUAAAAAAUUUUAAGCCAAAGACUGGCCUGUUUUCAUCGCAAUUCUGUUAAUCUAUCCUUUUGCGCUGUACUCAUGUUUUCAGGUUGAGAAGAGUCCACCUGUACUGACACACUAAAACAUGUGAUUAAUAUCCUUUUUUAUUACUUUUUCUUAAGACAAUCCUUCUAAGUCUUUCUCCCUGGUCUCACAUUACACACAUCAGCCAGUUUCCUUUUAUGGGCAUGCAAAGUUCCUGUCACACACACUACUUCCUGUCACACACACAGCCACACAGACUCAUAUUUUCUGUUUCUCUCCUUCCUGUUUCUUCAGGAUAAUCAAACUCUUA
ensembl:lncRNA